CCUACGGGUGGCAGCAGUGGGGAAUAUUGGACAAUGGGCGAAAGCCUGAUCCAGCCAUGCCGCGUGUGUGAAGAAGGCCUUCGGGUUGUAAAGCACUUUCAGUGGGGAAGAAAGCCUUGGGGCUAAUACCCUCGAGGAAGGACAUCACCCACAGAAGAAGCACCGGCCAACUCCGUGCCAGCAGCCGCGGUAAUACGGAGGGUGCGAGCGUUAAUCGGAAUUACUGGGCGUAAAGCGCGCGUAGGCGGUCUGAUAAGCCGGUUGUGAAAGCCCCGGGCUCAACCUGGGAACGGCAGCCGGAACUGUCAGGCUAGAGUGCAGGAGAGGAAGGUAGAAUUCCCGGUGUAGCGGUGAAAUGCGUAGAGAUCGGGAGGAAUACCAGUGGCGAAGGCGGCCUUCUGGACUGACACUGACGCUGAGGUGCGAAAGCGUGGGUAGCAAACAGGAUUAGAUACCCCAGUAGUC
rnacentral:rRNA from 1 species